CUUGGCAGUAUUUCUCAAAGUAAGUGCCACAAAGUGAGCAUUUUCCCUGCAGGACCUCAAACAGCUCAACAAGUGAUGUGCUGCCAGUGACUCAGCCCAGCGUCCCUGUCCAUCUGCUUGCAGCCACCAGCACUCCCUACCAGAUGCCUGUUUUCAGAUGCAAAGCCCUACGUGAAGACUGGGACAGGAGUGGGCUGUGAAGUGAAUGUAUGUUUGGGGAUUACUCUGUAUGCUGCUUAUGACUGUUUUUGUUCCUGGACAGAGGAGAUACAAAAUCUAUCCAUGAGGUCGUGACAUCUGCUGUCCCUUGCUUGGGAGUUUUACACACCACGAGAUGGGACAAACUGAAAGGAGACGCUGCUUGAACUUUUGUUCUGAAGCAUCUCGAAAAGG
rnacentral:lncRNA from 1 species